rnacentral:lncRNA from 10 species
CCUAAAGGCUCCUCCAUAUCUAUAACAUUUUAAAAAAUCAACCGAUUGCUGUUUGUAAUCUCUCCCUGAUUUUGCUGCAAAUGACUAAUCUUAGUAUUUUCCUUCUUGUUGCAGUUCUCACCUUGAUGAUUUUAUAAAUACCUGUGCAAUCAUUUAAGGAUGCUGUUAUAACUUGCUAUCACAGGAUUCAGGUCCAAGAACCCUCUCUUAGGAUCUGCACUGGGACCUACCCCUUUUUGGCAACAUGUUCUUGGCAACCACGAAGGGACUAUCCUGAGGAGAUCCCUGACCCAAAGGAAAUAGACUGCAGAACCAAUUGGCUGACUUUGGAGUGUGGCAUUGCACCCUGUAGGUCAAAAAUGUGGACAAUCUGGCUAAGAAGAGAGCAAGACAGGUUCAAAUUAGGUAUGCUUGACCUAUGAGUAGGUUAAGGGCCUUAAAUAUACGUCAGUGAUGACUACGGAGUAAGAGCUCAGUUUAUUUUUGGAAUGUACCUCUCUCCAUGAA